rnacentral:rRNA from 1 species
AUUGAACGCUGGCGGCAGGCCUAACACAUGCAAGUCGAACGCGUUGCGUACGGGUGAGUAAUGUCUGGGAAACUGCCUGAUGGAGGGGGAUAACUACUGGAAACGGUAGCUAAUACCGCAUACCAUCAGAUGUGCCCAGAUGGGAUUAGCUAGUAGGUGGGGUAAAGGCGCACCUAGGCGACGAUCCCUAGAUGGUCUGAGCGGAUGACCAGCAAACCUGGAACUGAGAUACGGUCCAGACUCCUACGGGAGGCAGCAGUGGGGAAUAUUGCACAAUGGGCGCAAGCCUGAUGCAGCCAUGCCGCGUGUAUGAAGAAGGCCUUCGGGUUGUAAAGUACUUUCAGCGGGGAGGCGUUACCCGCAGAAGAAGCACCGGCUAACUCCGUGCCAGCCGCCGCGGUAAUUC